rnacentral:rRNA from 1 species
GGGGAAUCUUGCGCAAUGGGCGAAAGCCUGACGCAGCCAUGCCGCGUGAAUGAUGAAGGUCUUAGGAUUGUAAAAUUCUUUCACCGGGGACGAUAAUGACGGUACCCGGAGAAGAAGCCCCGGCUAACUUCGUGCCAGCAGCCGCGGUAAUACGAAGGGGGCUAGCGUUGCUCGGAAUUACUGGGCGUAAAGGGCGCGUAGGCGGACAUUUAAGUCAGGGGUGAAAUCCCGAGGCUCAACCUCGGAACUGCCUUUGAUACUGGGUGUCUUGAGUAUGAGAGAGGUAUGUGGAACUCCGAGUGUAGAGGUGAAAUUCGUAGAUAUUCGGAAGAACACCAGUGGCGAAGGCGACAUACUGGCUCAUUACUGACGCUGAGGCGCGAAAGCGUGGGGAGCAAAC